GGGCAGUUAGCUCAGGGGGAGAGCGCUACCUUGACACGGUAGAGGUCGCUGGUUCGAUCCCAGUACUGCCCACCA
rnacentral:tRNA from 1 species